AACCCCCGGGGGGAAUAUUUCCCCAAUUUUUUGGAAAAUUCCCCCGGGGUUUUAAAAAAUUUUGGGGCCAAAAAAAAAUUUUUGGCCCCCCAAAAAAAACCCUCGGGGGGGCCCCCCAAAAAAAUUUUUUCCCCCCAAAGGCCGCCCUCCCCAAAAGGAUUUUUGAAACCAAUUUUUGGGGAAACCCCAAAAUUUUUUGGGAAAACCCCACAGUUUAAAAUUGGUUCCCCAUUUAAAAGGUUGGCCCCCAAAAAAUUUUUUCUUUUAAAAAAAUCUUCCUCCACUCAUUUUUUUUUUCACAUCCCCCCACUUAUUUUUCUUCCAAAAUUUACCCCCCCAAAUCCCCCCCCCCCUUUGGGGGCCCCCCUGAGCCCCCGGGGUCCUAAACCCCUUGGCGGAUUAAAAAAAAUUUGAGGAUUCGACGCCCUCUCGGAUUAAAAGGGGUUUUUUUUUUUUUUGGGGUCCACCGGGCCCAACGGUUGUCUACACCCCCGGGGGGUAUCCCCCCCCCCCGGGGGGGGAAAAUAUCUCGGAAAAACGUUUCUUAAAUUGGGGUACCCCCCCCCAUGGGGGAAAAACCGGGGCAACUUUUUGGCCCUCUGGCGCAUUCCGAAUACCACCCCGGCGGAUUAAUGUUUUUUUGGGGAGGUAAAGGGUUUACAAAAGGGGCCAGUUCCCUUGGGGCGGUUUUGGAGGGGAAGUUUAAGCCCAAACCGGAAAUUGGAGCCACGGUUCCGGAAUUCUUUAAGGUACGCCAGCAAUUUGGGGAAUUUUUGUACAAAUGGCGGGAAACCCUGGAUGCAGCCCAUGCCGGCAUGCUGGAAGAAGGCCUUACGGGUUGUAAAGCACUUUUAGGGGGGAGGAAACGUUUGUAAGCGAAUAAAUUGCCAGGUGGGGACGUUAUUCGCAGAAGAAGCACCGGGUUAAUUCCGUGCCAGCAGCCGGGGUAAUACGGAGGGUGCAAGCCUUAAUCGGAAUUAAUGGGCGUAAAGGGCACGCAGGGGGUCGGAUAAGUCAGAUGUGAAAGCCCCGGGCUCAACCUGGGAAUUGCAUUUAAAACCGUCCAGCUAGAGUCUCGUAGAGGGGGGUAGAAUUCCAGGUGUAGCGGUGAAAUGCGUAGAGAUCUGGAGGAAUACCGGUGGCGAAGGCGGCCCCCUGGACAAAGACUGACGUUCAGGUGCGAAAGCGUGGGGAGCAAACAGGAUUAGAUACCCUGGUAGUCCACGCCGUAAACGAUGUCGAUUUGGAGGCUGUGUCCUUGAGACGUGGCUUCCGGAGCUAACGCGUUAAAUCGACCGCCUGGGGAGUACGGCCGCAAGGUUAAAACUCAAAUGAAUUGACGGGGGCCCGCACAAGCGGUGGAGCAUGUGGUUUAAUUCGAUGCAACGCGAAGAACCUUACCUGGCCUUGACAUGUCUGGAAUCCUGCAGAGAUGCGGGAGUGCCUUCGGGAAUCAGAACACAGGUGCUGCAUGGCUGUCGUCAGCUCGUGUCGUGAGAUGUUGGGUUAAGUCCCGCAACGAGCGCAACCCUUGUCCUUUGUUGCCAGCACGUAAUGGUGGGAACUCAAGGGAGACUGCCGGUGAUAAACCGGAGGAAGGUGGGGAUGACGUCAAGUCAUCAUGGCCCUUACGGCCAGGGCUACACACGUGCUACAAUGGCGCGUACAGAGGGCUGCAAGCUAGCGAUAGUGAGCGAAUCCCAAAAAGCGCGUCGUAGUCCGGAUCGGAGUCUGCAACUCGACUCCGUGAAGUCUGAAUCGUUAGUAAUUGCAAAUCCGACCGUUACGGAUAAUACGUUCCCGGGCUUCGUACACACCGCCCGUCACACCACGGGAUUGCGGUGCACCAGAAGUAGAUAGCCAGACCUUCGUCCGGGCAAUACCUCGGCAUCCUCAUGACAAAGAGCACGUGCUAACAAGCCUUCCGCC
rnacentral:rRNA from 1 species